UACAGAGGUCCCGAGCGUUGUUCGGAUUCACUGGGCGUAAAGGGUGCGUAGGUGGUGAGGUAAGUCGGAUGUGAAAGCUCGGAGCUCAACUCCGAAAUGGCAUUGGAAACUACCUUGCUAGAGGGUUGGAGGGGGGACUGGAAUGCUUGGUGUAGCAGUGAAAUGCGUAGAUAUCAAGCGGAACACCAGUGGCGAAGGCGAGUCCCUGGACAACUCCUUACACUGAGGCACGAAAGCUAGGGGAGCAAACAGG
rnacentral:rRNA from 1 species